GACGAACGCUGGCGGCGUGCUUAACACAUGCAAGUCGAACGGAAAGGCCCUGCUUUUGUGGGGUGCUCGAGUGGCGAACGGGUGAGUAACACGUGAGUAACCUGCCCUUGACUUUGGGAUAACUUCAGGAAACUGGGGCUAAUACCGGAUAGGAGCUCCUGCUGCAUGGUGGGGGUUGGAAAGUUUCGGCGGUUGGGGAUGGACUCGCGGCUUAUCAGCUUGUUGGUGGGGUAGUGGCUUACCAAGGCUUUGACGGGUAGCCGGCCUGAGAGGGUGACCGGCCACAUUGGGACUGAGAUACGGCCCAGACUCCUACGGGAGGCAGCAGUGGGGAAUAUUGCACAAUGGGCGGAAGCCUGAUGCAGCAACGCCGCGUGCGGGAUGACGGCCUGCGGGUUGUAAACCGCUUUCGCCUGUGACGGAGCGUGAGUGACGGUAAUGGGUAAAGAAGCACCGGCUAACUACGUG
rnacentral:rRNA from 1 species